UGUAAGUCCCUCAAUUCAUUUCUAAAUUACUGCUCCAUUUCUUCCCCCAAAAAGAUCAAAUUCGAAUCAAAUUUACGAUCAAUUGUCUUUUCAUCCCCAAUUCUGUGUUUAAUCUCAAAAUAACCCUAACAAAAUUCAAUUCUUCUCCAAUUCCCCCUUUAUAUUUCCAAUUUUCCCAUGUUAAUUCACAAUGUCAGAUCCACCAACAAUCACUCACGUUUCCAACAACCUCACAAUCAGUGAAUUAUUACCACAAACAACGUCAAAAUCAAUUACCGAUACAAUUAACGGGUCACACCGUUUUGUAAUCCAAGGUUAUUCAUUAGCUAAAGGUAUGGGUGUUGGUAAACAUAUUGCUAGUGACACUUUUACUGUUGGUGGUCAUCAAUGGGCUAUUUACUUUUACCCUGAUGGUAAAAACCCCGAGGAUAAUUCGACGUACGUGUCGGUUUUUAUUGCGUUGGCUAGUGAAGGAACGGAUGUUAGGGCUUUGUUUGAAUUGACUCUUGUUGAUCAGAGUGGUAAAGGGAAAGAUAAGGUUCAUAGUCAUUUUGAUCGGUCGCUCGAGAGUGGGCCGUAUACAUUGAAGUAUCGCGGUAGCAUGUGGGGAUACAAACGGUUUUUUAGACGAGCAUUGCUCGAGACUUCAGAUUAUUUGAAGGAUGACUGCUUGAAGAUUAAUUGCACUGUUGGAGUAGUGCGCUCUACGAUAGACUGUUCGAGCUUGCAUACAAUUCAGGUCCCAGAUCCGGACAUUGGAGCACAUUUUGGCAUGCUUUUGGAAAAUAUAGAAGCCUCGGAUAUUAUUUUCAAUGUGGCUGGUGAAAAAUUUCAUGCCCAUAAGUUGGUAUUGGCUGCUCGUUCUCCUGUAUUCCGCACUGAAUUUUUGUGUAAACGGGAUGGCGAUGAGCAGGAAAUUGUGGUUAAUGAUAUGGAACCUGAGGUCUUCAAAGCUAUGCUGCACUUCAUAUACAGAGAUGCUCUUGUAGAAGAAGAGCUAGAAGCAACUAGUACCUCUUCUUCUACCCCCUGUAUAUCUGACACUGUGACAGCAAAAUUGCUAUCAGCAGCUGAUCGGUAUGAUUUAACACGACUCAGGAGGUUGUGUGAGUCUCAUCUUUGCAAAGAUAUCUCUAUCAACUCUGUUGCACAUAUUCUUGCUUUAGCAGACUGUUACCAUGCCGCAGAGCUCAAAUCAGUUUGCCUAAGUUUUGCUGCUGAAAAUCUUGCUGAGCUAUUCAUUUAGAGUCUUGAGAUAGCAGUCAAGCUGAAAAGAAAAUGCUGCAUUAGUAUUGUGGAGAAAGGGCAAACUACUGUUGGAAAACUUAGUCUGUGUUCAUUGAUGGGGAGUACGCUGAGAAAACUGAAAGUGCAUCCCCUGAGGUCAAGUAAAAGUCGCAUCACUUGAGGUCACAUAAGAGAACUCUUCCAAAUUGAAGCUGUUUGUGAAUUCUUCAAGCAGUGAAAACUUAGGUGAAAGAGAAGUCUGAGGGCAUGGAAUAUUGUACCUUUAGCAAUUAUGUGGGGUUAUUUGGAAGGAGAAAAAUAAGAGUGUUUGAAGUGUUUGAACAACAUAUUGUAAAAUUGCAAAGUAGUUUGCUCUAGUUUCCUUUUGGUGUACCCAUGAGAUCCCUAUUUGUAUAGAAGAUUGGGUUUCUUUAGUUGGGAGAACCAUAUUCCUAUGUAGGUUCUCUUUUUUCGGUAUACGGCUUGUAUAGAGUGUUUCCCCCAAUUAUUAAUAAAAUAAUUUUCCUUGUGGUCCGGCCCUUCUCCGGGCCCCGCGCAUAGCCGGAGCUUAGUGCACCGGACUGCCCUUUUAAAAAAAAAAAAAUCAAAAAAGAUGAAAUGACUUGUUUCUUCCCCUUCCUUCUUGUCUCCAGCCGAUCCCUUUUUUGUCACUUUGGUAGUUGCAGAGCAUCCAGAAGGAGAAAGAGAAAAAAAUCAGCAAUGAAGCAAAUGAAGUGAUGUAUCAGGAAAAGGAAGCUACUUGUCAGGAUAAUGAAGCGAAUGAAGUGGAUCACUACUUGAUCUGGCAGAGGUAGAGCAACAACAACAACAACAAUGAAGCGAAUGAAGUGAUGUAUCAGGAAAAGGAAGCUACUUGUCAGGAUAAUGAAGCGAAUGAAGUGGAUCACUACUUGAUCUGGCAGAGCUGUCAUGCAAUCAGAUGGCUUUGAAUACCUUAAAGAAAAUUGCCCCUCUCUUCAGUCAGAGCUUCUUAAAACUGUGGCUGGUUGCGAGGAUGAUUGUAGCAGUGGAGGUGGAAAGUCUAGAAGUGUUUGGGCACAGCU